CGAAUGCUGACGUGAGUAACGACAAAACGGGUGAAAAACCCGUUCGCCGAAAGACCAAGGGUUCCAGUCCAACGUUAAUCGGGGCUGGGUGAGUCGACCCCUAAGGCGAGGCCGAAAGGCGUAGUCGAUGGGAAAAUGGUUAAUAUUCCAUUACUUCUGUGUAAUGCGAUGAGAGGACGGAGAAGGCUAAAUCAGCCUGGCGUUGGUUGUCCAGGUGAAAGGAUGUAGGCAUGUAUCUUAGGCAAAUCCGGGGUACUCUAUGCUGAGAUCUGAUAGCAAGCUGUACUUGUACAGCGAAGUGGUUGAUGCCAUGCUUCCAGGAAAAGUCUCUAAGCUUCAGUUACACAGGAAUCGUACCCGAAACCGACACAGGUGGUCAGGUCGAGUAGACCAAGGCGCUUGAGAGAACUCUGCUGAAGGAACUAGGCAAAAUGGUACCGUAACUUCGGGAGAAGGUACGCUGUUGUUGGUGAUGGAACUCGCUUCCUGAGCUGACGACAGCCGCAGAAACCAGGCCGCUGCAACUGUUUAUUAAAAACAUAGCACUCUGCAAACACGAAAGUGGACGUAUAGGGUGUGAUGCCUGCCCGGUGCUGGAAGGUUAAUUGAUGGGGUUAGCGUAAGCGAAGCUCUUGAUCGAAGCCCCAGUAAACGGCGGCCGUAACUAUAACGGUCCUAAGGUAGCGAAAUUCCUUGUCGGGUAAGUUCCGACCUGCACGAAUGGCAUAAUGAUGGCGGCGCUGUCUCCAGCAGAGGCUCAGUGAAAUCGAAAUCGCUGUGAAGAUGCAGUGUACCCGCGGCUAGACGGAAAGACCCCGUGAACCUUUACUGCAGCUUGACACUGAACUUUGACCUUACUUGUGUAGGAUAGGUGGGAGGCUUUGAAGCUGGAACGCUAGUUCCAGUGGAGCCGUCCUUGAAAUACCACCCUGGUAAUGUUGAGGUUCUAACUCUGUCCCGUGAUCCGGGACGAGGACCGUGUCUGGUGGGUAGUUUGACUGGGGCGGUCUCCUCCUAAAGAGUAACGGAGGAGUACGAAGGUGCGCUCAGCGUGGUCGGAAAUCACGCGUAGAGUAUAAAGGCAAAAGCGCGCUUAACUGCGAGACCCACAAGUCGAGCAGGUACGAAAGUAGGUCUUAGUGAUCCGGUGGUUCUGUAUGGAAGGGCCAUCGCUCAACGGAUAAAAGGUACUCUGGGGAUAACAGGCUGAUACCGCCCAAGAGUUCAUAUCGACGGCGGUGUUUGGCACCUCGAUGUCGGCUCAUCUCAUCCUGGGGCUGAAGCAGGUCCCAAGGGUAUGGCUGUUCGCCAUUUAAAGAGGUACGCGAGCUGGGUUUAGAACGUCGUGAGACAGUUCGGUCCCUAUCUACCGUGGGCGCUGGAAAUUUGAGAGGAUCUGCUCCUAGUACGAGAGGACCAGAGUGGACGAACCUCUGGUGUACCGGUUGUGACGCCAGUCGCAUCGCCGGGUAGCUAUGUUCGGAAGGGAUAACCGCUGAAAGCAUCUAAGCG
rnacentral:rRNA from 1 species